UUGUGCCGACUGAGCGAGGACAAGGCGUUUUGGAAGACCAUUGAUUUUGUUGUUUUAAAACAUGAUCAGCAACGCAUCAUUGUCUUCCAUAACGCCGCGAAUGACUAUACCAUCCGAUUCA
rnacentral:precursor_RNA from 10 species